UACGUAGGAGGCAAGCGUUAUCCGGAUUUACUGGGCGUAAAGCGUGUGCAGGCGGUUUGGUAAGUCGGAUGUGAAAUCCCCAGGCUUAACCUGGGAACUGCAUCCGAUACUGGAUGGCUUGAAUCCGGGAGAGGGAUGCAGAAUUCCAGGUGUAGCGGUGAAAUGCGUAGAUAUCUGGAGGAAUACCGGUGGCGAAGGCGGCAUCCUGGACCGGCAUUGACGCUGAUGAGCGAAAGCUAGGGGAGCAAACGGG
rnacentral:rRNA from 1 species